rnacentral:rRNA from 1 species
AACGAACGCUGGCGGCAGGCUUAACACAUGCAAGUCGAACGCGUGUAGCAAUACACGAGUGGCGCACGGGUGAGUAACACGUGGAUUAUCUGCCUCUUGGUUCGGAAUAACCACGGGAAACUGGGGCUAAUACCGAAUGGUUCCUACGGGAUAAAGAUUUAUCGCCAAGAGAUGAGUCCGCGUCCGAUUAGCUAGUUGGUGGGGUAAUGGCCUACCAAGGCGACGAUCGGUAGCUGGUCUGAGAGGACGAUCAGCCACACUGGGACUGAGACACGGCCCAGACUCCUACGGGAGGCAGC